CCAUGCCUAAUGUACUUAUCCGGAGAAUUCCGGUGUGUCAAGGUUGGCAAUACUGAUACAUUCACAGGAUCCAGGUAUCUAUACCUGGAUGCUGUGGAUGUAUCUUCAGUCGCUAUAGUUGGGUUAACGCUUCUUAUAGUUCCUCAUAGUCAAAUUGUUAAUAUAACGUGUUUACUUAGCUUGUCCAUUCGGUUGGAUAUUAACUUUCAGUAGUCAAAGUGAUAGUAUAGCAUAUAUCCAAACCCUCACACAUUAGAGCACCUUCACUGAACGAACGUUCAGAAACGUGAUUCAAGUUCUUAUCAUAACUUCAUAAUUCAUAAAUCAUAACACAAAUUAUUUUUACUUUACAGCAACUUGCGUGCGAAAUUAUUAAUUAUUUUAUUUUAUAGACUCGAAAAUUUUCAAUGAUAGCCUACACACGUAAUAAUUAUUGCUAUGAAACAGCGAAGUUAUAAUUUUUUUUACACUCGAAAUACUCAAAUUUAGGCUACUAUUCUAUUCUAUUUUACACUACGCAACCAAUGAAUCAAAAUUAUCGAAAUAUUACGUAGAUUAUUAAAUGAAGUUUACCAGGAGGAAAAGGUACUCAGCUAUUGUUGCACUUGGCCGUUUAUAGGUACAUAUUAUUAUAUAUAAUAUAUUGAACUAUUGAAAUUAUAGAUUACUGUACUCGUAGUUGGCGUAAUAUUUCCGCUAAAUUCGUUCGAUACAUCAACUGAAAGAAGCAGUACUGUUCGCCAUUUGUGAUGCUAAUUGCUAAAUAUUUGUACUUUGAUCGAAGUGAAAGACAUGGGGUGAUGUACUGAUGUCAGCUGGUGACUUAAUUUGUAUACACUGUAAAGUAAAACGCAGCAUCGGACAUAGGAUAAGUGAUAAAAAUGCUCUAGGGUGGUCGCAUUCAGCGGAGAACGAUAUUUUCCAUACUUUUCGCUAGGAGGUGCUCUAAUGUGUGAGGGUUUGGAUACAUGCGAUAGUAUAACGUGUUAAUUCUAUAGUAAAAUUGAUGUUCGUAUUCAAGCAGUUAUUUUAAGUUAAUCGUCAACUUGUUAAGAAGAAGAAAUAUAAUCGUGGUAGUAA